CAAAUACUCUAUCAGCAACUGAUUCUUGACAAGCAGUUCCGAGUAUCUGAUUAUAAAUAAUUGUGUUGGUUUUGUUAGUCGGGAUUAUCAAAAAAUAGACUAAAUAAAUGUAAGUUUAGGACAUUUCUAUUAUCUUUAUUGCCUAUUAUCACAAAUUAAUCAUUUGCGUGAAAAAUAUAUUCGAAUGUAAUCCAUUCUAAAGCACAUAGUAGGCAUUUAAAAAAAAAACAGAAUAUUGAGUCUGACCAUUCCAAAUUGUUUCUUCCCAAAUUUUUAAAUUUCAAAGUAAACUUCAAGCCUCUAGUUCCUAAAGUCUUUGAGAUAAAGGUAAUGAUAGAAUCGUAUUCGAUUGCAAAAUGGUGGACAAUCUUAUGAAACACUUACUUGUGCGUCAACGCAUUGUUGUGUAUGCCAACCCAGAACUUUGGAAAGUAGUUGAAAUGCAGCGGAGUCGACUCAAUAGCAACAAGGCAGUGUAACUUGACUAGUGUAUCGUUGAGAGAACCCAUGUUGACACACAUUCGAAGCAUGACAUCGAUGAAGUCGUGAUAUGGUCUGUAGAAGCUAUCGACAAGUGCAUCAUACUCCACAUCAAGACCUCGUGGGGUCAAUUCAGCUAGCGCAAUGCACAUUUGCACCAUGGGUCGAGGAGGACGCGGUGAAUUCUUAGCACCUUGGGGCCAGGGUGUCUGCUUGGCUCCCCGACGUGGGAAGUAUGGACCCAAUGGACCAAUUGCAUUAGGUGCGUUUGCUACAGACAGAUGACAGUUGAUCAAAAUGGGUGCCAAUAUGCUAGUUGCCUCGAGAGUAGUGUUGCGCACCAGCUCCUUGAGCACCUCCAGUGCCAUUCGACUGAUCUCGGGUGAGUUGAAUGUGUUAAGCAAGGUGGCCAAGCGCUUGAUGGCAUCUGGAAGGGCCUUUGCUAAUGCAGAGAGCUGAUGCUGUUGGCGAAGAAAAUGCUGCUGCUGCAACUGCAUUUGCUGUAGUUGAAGGUGUUGCUGCAUUUGCUGCUGCAACUGCUUCUCUUUCUGCUGUGGCGUCUGCGGUGCUUGGGUGCACUGUGCCUGCUGUUGUUUCUGCAUCAGUUGUUGCUGUUGCAAUUGUAACUGCUGUUCCAACUGCUGAUGUUGUUGCUUCUUUUGCGCCGAAUUAUCUGUGCGCAUUCGCAGUGUUGCUAACAGUAGCACCAUCUCGCCAAGUAGGUCUAGGAGAUCUCCAGCCACAUGGCAUGCGGUGGCUUCGUGAUGCAUGGAAUGUAGAGUGUGCAGAG